UACGGAGGAUGCGAGCGUUAUCCGGAUUUAUUGGGUUUAAAGGGUGCGUAGGCGGACUGUUAAGUCAGCGGUAAAAGCCCGGGGCUCAACCCCGGCCCGCCGUUGAAACUGGCAGUCUCGAGUUGGAGAGAAGUAUGCGGAAUGCGCGGUGUAGCGGUGAAAUGCAUAGAUAUCACGCAGAACUCCGAUUGCGAAGGCAGCAUACCGGCGGCGAUCUGACGCUGAGGCACGAAAGCGUGGGGAGCAAAUAGG
rnacentral:rRNA from 1 species